ACAUACGACCAUAGAACACUGAAAACACGGCUUCCCGUCCGCUCAGCCCUAGUUAACCAGUGUAUCGGCGGAUUAGUAGUCAGGUGGGUGACCACUGGCGAAUCCCCGCUGUUGUAUGUU
rfam:Pyrenophora tritici-repentis Pt-1C-BFP supercont1.2 genomic scaffold, whole genome shotgun sequence.